UACGUAGGGUGCGAGCGUUGUCCGGAAUUAUUGGGCGUAAAGGGCGCGUAGGCGGCCUGUUAAGUCGAACGUGAAAUCCCCGGGCUCAACCCGGGAACUGCGUCCGAUACUGGCAGGCUUGAAUCCGGGAGAGGGAUGUGGAAUUCCAGGUGUAGCGGUGAAAUGCGUAGAUAUCUGGAGGAACACCGGUGGCGAAGGCGGCAUCCUGGACCGGUAUUGACGCUGAGGCGCGAAAGCCAGGGGAGCAAACGGG
rnacentral:rRNA from 1 species